GAAUCUUCAGCUUCCCUCCCCCACAGUAGAUUUUCAAUUCUGUGAAACAUAAGUGGAUAUAUCAUUUCCCAAGUUGCCCAGACCUAUUACAUUCUUCCUCAUGGCAUAUGCCUGGCUCACAUUACUUCAUUUAGAACUUUUGAUACCAACGUAAUGAAAAAACUUCCCAAGUAUCUGCAAAUCUUAAUUGUGUUCUUUUCUUCAUUUUGCUAAUCACCACCUAACAGGUAAAGGUCUGCUGCUAAUUGUUAAGGACUAUGGAUUC
rnacentral:lncRNA from 1 species